rnacentral:rRNA from 1 species
GACUUCUGGUUUAAUGCACCUGGCCCGCGGCCCACAAGGCCUGUGAGUGCCGGCGCGCGUUUACCAUCCUUCCAGCAACGGCUACCCUUAACUGGGCGGCUGGAACUGGAUCUUUUACUUUGAAAAAAUUAGAGUGUUUAAAGCAGGCGUUUGCUCUGAAUACAUUAGCAUGGAAUAAUAAUCUAGGACUUCGGUUCUAUUUUGUUAAGUAAUGAUUGAGAGGGAUAGUUGGGGGUGCUAGUAUUGGCCGGUCAGAGGUGAAAUUCUUGGAUUCGGUCAAGACUAACUUAUGCGAAAGCAUU